rnacentral:rRNA from 1 species
UACGUAGGUGGCAAGCGUUGUCCGGAAUUAUUGGGCGUAAAGCGCGCGCAGGCGGUCUCUUAAGUCUGAUGUGAAAUCUCGCGGCUCAACCGUGAGCGGUCAUUGGAAACUGGGAGACUUGAGUGCAGAAGAGAAGAGCGGAAUUCCACGUGUAGCGAUGAAAUGCGUAGAGAUGUGGGGAACACCAGUGGCGAAGGCGGCUCUUUGGUCUGUAACUGACGCUGAGGCGCGAAAGCGUGGGGAGCGAACAGG